UACGUAGGGGGCAAGCGUUGUCCGGAUUCAUUGGGCGUAAAGAGCGUGUAGGCGGCCAGGUAGGUCGGUUGUGAAAACUGGAGGCUCAACCUUCAGACGUCGACCGAAACCAUCUGGCUAGAGUCCGGGAGAGGAGAGUGGAAUUCCUGGUGUAGCGGUGAAAUGCGUAGAUAUCGGGAGGAACACCAGUGGCGAAGGCGACUUCCUGGCCUGUUCUUGACGCUGAGGCGCGAAAGCUAGGGGAGCAAACGGG
rnacentral:rRNA from 1 species